UCGAGGAUCUUCGUCAAUGGGCGAAAGCCUGAACGAGCGACGCCGCGUGCAUGAUGAAGGCCUUCGGGUUGUAAAGUGCGAAAGUGGGGACAAAGCCGCAAGGUUGAUUGAUCCACAGUAAGGACGGGCUAAGUUCGUGCCAGCAGCCGCGGUAAGACGAACUGUCCUAACGUUGUUCGGAAUCACUGGGCUUAAAGGGCGCGUAGGCGGUCGGACAAGUCAGGGGUGAAAUCCCGCAGCUUAACUGCGGAAGUGCCUUUGAUACUGUUCGUCUGGAGGGAGGUAGGGGUGUGUGGAACUCACAGUGGAGCGGUGAAAUGCGUUGAUAUUGUGAGGAACGCCGGAGGCGAAAGCGACGCACUGGACCUCUUCUGACGCUGAGGCGCGAAAGCUAGGGGAGCAAACGGGAUUAGAUACCCCCGUAGUCC
rnacentral:rRNA from 1 species